rnacentral:rRNA from 1 species
UACAGAGGGGCAAGCGUUGUUCGGAAUUACUGGGCGUAAAGGGCGCGUAGGCGGCCUUCUAAGUCGAACGUGAAAUCCCCGGGCUCAACCCGGGAACUGCGUCCGAUACUGGAAGGCUUGAAUCCGGGAGAGGGAUGUGGAAUCCAGGUGUAGCGGUGAAAUGCGUAGAUAUCUGGAGGAACACCGGUGGCGAAGGCGGUUCUCUGGGCAUUACCUGACGCUGAGGAGCGAAAGUGUGGGGAGCGAACAGG